rnacentral:tRNA from 1 species
UUCAUAGCUCAGAUGGCAGAGCGUCCGGCUGUUAACCGGAAGGCCGCAGGUUCGAUCCCUGCUGUUCC